UCCAUGGUGCCACCAGCAUAAACACUCUCAAAUUUCCUCCUUGUUUCUCCUGCUCGAAGAAACACAGGGAAAAAGAAAGAUGAGUUAAGCUUUAUCGGUGACUUUCACAUCAUACAAAUGCAACACCAGGGAGAUAUUGGUUCAUCAUUACAGACUUGCAAUAACUAAGAUCUAAGUGCUCCACCUUUCCUAUUUUGCUUAGCCUACGUCAAGAGAAGGAGGUUUUAUUAGCUUGGGAAGUGUUAAUUGGUAGAGAUAUUGAGAAAGGUUGAAAUAUAUGCAUAGUCUGUAGAACUGCGACCAUGGUCCUCAUCCUCAAAAGUUGAUGCUUUCCAGGGGUGACUCUUGCAAAUCAACACCUUAUCCACUCAGAAAGACUUAGUGGCAGUGUUGUCAAAGGCUCAUUUAAGGCGCGCUUAAGCCCUGAAGCCCAAAAAAACUCAGUGAGGGCGCUUCGCCUCUCUUAAGCUGCGCUUUUGUGCAGGCAAGACACUAAGGUGUGCGCCUCAUUUCCCAUGAGUUCUAUCUUGAAACGAGCGGGGUACUAAACAACAAAUAUUAUCGGCAAAUAAGUGUAUUAAUUGUUAAGAAAAAUAUUAGGAAUGAAUUUGUUUCUUUUUUCUUGUAUUACAUAUGUAUAUUUACUUUUUUCC